GAGUAGUAUAAGCUAAGAUCUUUAAACUCAAAAAAUUUGGCGGUAUUUUAUCUUAUUAGAGGAACCUGUUUAUUAAUUGAUGUUCCACAACUUUAAGUUACUUUUAUUAGAUUAUUUGUAUACCGCUGUCAUGAAUCUAUUAGAAAAUUAUUUUCAAAAUUUAUUAUAUGAGUUAUGUUAGGUCAAGGUGCAGUAUGUAAAGAACAAAAUGGGUUACAUUAUUUAAUAUGGAUGGAAUAUUUUAUUAGUUUAAUUUAGAAAUAGAAUUUAUAAGUAAAAAAGUUAUUAAAGAUUUUAUAUGAAUAGAGAUUCUAAAAUAUG
rnacentral:rRNA from 1 species